ACCGGCGGCUCGAGUGGUGGCCACUAUUACUGGGCUUAAAGCGUUCGUAGCUGGCUUGUUAAGUCUCUGGGGAAAUCUUCCGGCUCAACCGGAAGGCGUCUCAGGGAUACUGGCAGGCUAGGGACCGGAAGAGGUGAGAGGUACUCCAGGGGCAGGGGUGAAACCCGGUAAUCCUGGGGGGACAACCGGUGGCGAAGGCGUCUACCCGGGAGGGCUCCGCCGUUGAGGAACGAAAGCUGGGGGAGCAAACCG
rnacentral:rRNA from 1 species